rnacentral:rRNA from 1 species
UGCCGAGUAGCUAAGUGCGGAAGAGAUAACCGCUGAAAGCAUCUAAGCGGGAAACUCGUCUCAAGAUGAGUCUUGCCGGGGCCUUGAGCCCCCUGAAGAGUCGUUCGAGACCAGGACGUUGAUAGGUCGGGUGUGGAAGCGCAGUAAUGCGUUGAGCUAACCGAUACUAAUUGCUCGUGAGGCUUGACCCU